rnacentral:tRNA from 1 species
UAUGAAAUGGCAGAAGUAAUGCCUAAACUUUAAGCGUUUAUCAUGACCAUUGGUCUUUCAUACC